UCUACGGGUGGCAGCAGUGAGGAAUAUUGGUCAAUGGACGAGAGUCUGAACCAGCCAAGUAGCGUGAAGGAUGACUGCCCUAUGGGUUGUAAACUUCUUUUAUAUGGGAAUAAAAUGUUCAAAGUGUGGGAUUUUGUAUGUACCAUAUGAAUAAGGAUCGGCUAACUCCGUGCCAGCAGCCGCGGCAAUAAGGAGGAUCCGAGCGUUAUCCGGAUUUAUUGGGUUUAAAGGGAGCGUAGGUGGAUUGUUAAGUUAGUUGUGGAAGUGUGCGGCUAAAACGUAAAAUUGCAGUUGAAACUGGCAGUCUUGAGGACAGUAGAGGUGGGCGGAAUUCGUGGUGUAGCGGUGAAAUGCUUAGAUAUCACGAAGAACUCCGAUUGCGAAGGCAGCUCACUGGACUGCAACUGACACUGAGGCUCGAAAGUGUGGGUAUCAAACAGGAUUAGAUACCCGGGUAGUC
rnacentral:rRNA from 1 species